rnacentral:rRNA from 1 species
AGUGAACGCUGGCGGCAGGCCUAACACAUGCAAGUCGAACGACUGGCGGACGGGUGAGGAAUACAUCGGAAUCUACUCUCUCGUGGGGGAUAACGUAGGGAAACUUACGCUAAUACCGCAUAUGAUUGAAUGAUCUGAUGUCGGAUUAGCUUGUUGGGGGGGUAAAGGCCCACCAAGGCGACGCUCCGUAGCUGGUCGCAGAGGAUGAUCAGCCACACUGGAACUGAGACACGGGCCAAACUCCUACGGGAGGCAGCAGUGGGAAAUAUUGCACAAGGGGCGCAAGCCUGAUGCAGCCAUGCCGCGUGUAUGAAGAAGGCCUUCGGGUUGUAAAGUACUUUCAGCGGGGAGGCGUUACCCGCAGAAGAAGCACCGGCUAACUCCGUGCCAGCCGCCGCGGUAAUUC